GGGAAGGGUAAGAACCUUCGACUAAGGUUCGACUCGAGCGCCAGCGAGAGAACGUUGCCACAGGCAACGGCCCGAAGGGCGAGGAGAGAUAGCGACGAGUUAUCCUUCCCCCACCACCA
rnacentral:sRNA from 2 species